rnacentral:rRNA from 1 species
UACGGAGGAUGCGAGCGUUAUCCGGAUUUAUUGGGUUUAAAGGGUGCGUAGGCGGAACAUUAAGUCAGCGGUAAAAUCGAGGGGCUCAACCCCUUUAAGCCGUUGAAACUGACACUCUUGAGUGAGUGAGAAGUACGCGGAAUGCGUGGUGUAGCGGUGAAAUGCAUAGAUAUCACGCAGAACCCCGAUUGCGAAGGCAGCAUACCGGCGCCCGACUGACGCUGAGGCACGAAAGCGUGGGGAUCGAACAGG